rnacentral:siRNA from 1 species
UGAUCAUUGUCUUAGGCGCCUA